AAAUGCAUAUGCAAUCGUACACCACUCGGUUGAUAGUCUGGGAACUAAUAUAAUAGCACUUCCAUAUUUGGAAACGUCAAAGGAGUUCACUUCCUCUUGGAUUCUUCAAAGCUGAGAGUUGUUUCUGUUUAUUUCUACGUUUUAAAAUGCCGGCGUACCACUCGUCGUUAUCUGCCCCUAAUUCCUUGUGCAAGAUGGCGCUGCUUCCCAUCAACACGAAGUUCAAAGGCCCAGCUCCGCCCGGAGAUGGAAAUCCCGAUAUCAUAGAAGAAGCGAUCUAUUUUUUCAAAGCCAACGUUUUCUUCAAAAGCUAUGAGAUCAAGUCUGAGGCAGAUCGUGUUUUGAUUUACCUGACACUUUACAUCACAGAAUGUUUGAAGAAGCUUCAGAGGUGCUCUUCCAAAGAAAAUGGUAAAAAGGAGAUGACAACCUUAGCAAUGGCUAAUUUUGUCAUUCCAGGAGACAGUGGGUUUCCACUGAAUGCUAUGUACUCAAAACCAAGCAGUAAAGCUGAAGCAGAUUCUACGAGGGCAUACUUGACACAGUUGAGACAAGAACUUGGCCAGAGACUAGUGGAAGCUGUGUUUGAUCCACAGACAGAUAAACCAUCCAAGUGGUGGAUGUGUUUUGUGAAGAGAAAGUUCAUGGACAAGAGUCUGUCAGCCCCAGGGCAGUAGUGGUACAAAGGUUGUGAGAAUAAAGAAAAUGAUCACUAACAAAAGAAGCAUUUGAUUGAUUGUGAGGAACCUGGAAUAGAAACUGCAGAUUUUUACUUGUAAAGAUGAAAACAGUGAAAUUUGUUAAUGUUCAUGUUCAAAAUAAAGCCUUUCACACUUAAAUGAUUUGAGUGUGAUUUUUUUGUCAUUGA